rnacentral:rRNA from 1 species
GAUGAACGCUGGCGGCGUGCCUAAUACAUGCAAGUCGAGCGAACGGACGAGAAGUUUGCUUCUUUGAUGUUAGCGGCGGACGGGUGAGUAACACGUGGAUAACCUACCUAUAAGACGGGGAUAACUUCGAGAAACCGGAGCUAAUACCGGACAAUACUUUGAACCGCAUGGUUCAAAAGUGAAAGACGGUCUUGCUGUCACUUAUAGAUGGAUCCGCGCUGCAUUAGCUAGUUGGUAAGGUAACGGCCUACCAAGGCAACGAUGCAUAGCCGACCUGAGAGGGUGAUCGCCCACACUAGAACUGAGACACGGUCCAUACUCCUGCGGGAGGCAGCAGUAGGGUAUCUUCCGCAGUGGGCGAAAGCCUUACAGAGCAACGCCGCGUGAGUGAUGGAGGUCUUCGGAUCGUAAAGCUCUGUUAUUAGUGAAGAACAUCUUUGUACGUAACUGUGCCCAUCUUGACGGUACCUACUCAGAAAGCCCCGGCUAACUACGUG